rnacentral:lncRNA from 1 species
AUGGAAGUUCCUGGGCUAGGGGUCAAAUAGGAGCUGCAGCUACUGGCCUACACCACAGCCACAGCCACGUGGGAACCAAGGCGCAUCUGGUGACUUAAGUGGCAACGCAAGCUUAAUCCACUUAACCUACUGAGUGAGGCCAGGGAUUGAACGCACAUUCUCAUGGAUAUUAGAUUCUUAACCCACUGAGCCAUAAGGAAACUCCCUAUUAUUAUAUUUUUUUGGCUGCACCAGCAGCAUAUGGAUGGUUCCAGGCCAGGGAUCAAAUCCUAGUCACAGCUGUGACCUACAUCACAGCUCUGGCAAUGCUGGAUCCUUAACCUGUUGUGCCACAGUGAGAACUCCCAAAGUUAACCAUUUUAAAGUAUAAAAUUCAGUGGCUUUUUAUAAUCUCAGGAUUGAGCAACCAUCACCACUACCUAAUUCCAGGUGGGAGGGGGUGGAGAAGAAAAAGAGCUGCCCCCCCCCCUUUGCCUUUAAGGGCCAUACCCAAUGCAUAUGGAGUUUCCCAGGCUGGGGGGUAGGGGGAGUUCAAUCGGCACUACAGCAGCCGGCCUACACUAAAGCCACAGCAACGCCAGAUCUGAGCUGCAUCUGCAACCUACACCACAGCUCACGGCAAUGCCGGAUCCUUAACCCACUGAGCAAGGCCAGGGGUUGAACCUGCAACCUCAUGGUUCCUAGUCGGAUUCGUUUCUGCUGAGCCACAACGGAAACUCCAAGAAUUGCUUUUAAAACAUGUUUAAAAAAAAUGAAUAUUAAACAACUCAAGGAACAGAAAAAAAAAAAUUGGAGUUCUCUGGUGGCAUAGCAAGUUAAGAAGGAUCCCACAUUGUCACUGCUAUGGCAUGGGUUCAGUCCCUGGCCCAGGAAUUUCCACAUACCACAAGCGCAGCCAAAAAAAGAAAAGAAAUUAAGUAAAUGAGAGAGCAGAUGGUCAGCAAAGAUGCUGAGGACAGUAGACAGGUAAGCAGAGUGUGGGGAUCAGCAAGAGGCUGCUAGGAAGCAUGACAGAAGGGGACUUAGACCCAGCGAGGGGUGGGAACAGGUAUAGCACCUGGUAAGGGGUUUGAGGGACCCCAGGGAGCCUCAGGGAAGACAAGAGACAGGUUCAGCCCUCCUAUCCCCGAGAGGUCAGGCAGUUCCUUUUCUUGGGAAGAGAACUUUAAAACAAAAAAAACAAAAAGCAAACUUCCCUUGGAAAUUGGAAACCCUGGACACAUCCCAGGGCUAUAAAAAGGCGGUGUUCACUGACCAGGUUAAAAAUAAAAGAUCCCCACCCAGGGGCAUUUCAGGUUGGGAGGAGACGCUGUAGGCCAGGCUGGGGUAGGACUUGCUGUGUGACCUAAGGCAGGUGUCCACCCUCUCUGAGCUCUGGUCCCCAACAGCUAUAGACUCAACGAUUUCCAAACACCCAAUUAAGGGAGCUACUGAUAUGGCUGCUGAUAUUUUUAUUUACCAAGGUUAUAAGCAGGGAGAGAGUGGCCUUUGGCAUGGCCAGGAACUUGGCACUCUCUGGGGGUUCCAUCGCUCUGGGCUCUCUUAGGAGGAAACCACUCCACAGCCCCAGGCUGCUGGUGAAGAGGUGGGACCCGUUGUCCGACGGCGCCCCCUGGUGGCACCGAGUGCUCGAGUGCUCAUCGCAGCAUUUUCCCGGUCCCCCUGGGACACAGGUCUUACUCACACUGGCUCCUCCCCACCCUUCCGAGCCAAGCUCCGUCCCACCACGGGGUCCUUUGCUGGGCUGUGGCCUCUGCCUGGAGUACCUUCUCUCGGGAGUGAUCCCUUCCAGGAAGCCUCCUACAGCCACUCCCCCUCCUCCCCCACUGGCCCCCAUCACACAGGGACCACCUUGGUUGUCACCUAGUCUAAUGUCUGUGAGCCCCCAAGAGGGUAGAAACAGGGUCUGCUUUAAGCAACCGUGUGUCCCCUGAUCUGAAACCAUCCCUGGCACACAGUAGGUGCCAGUAUAUACUGUUCAGUGAAUGAAUGAAUGGGUGGCAGAAUGAAUGAAUGAAACAUUCACCUGCAGGCAAGAAGAGAACAUGGAACCAAGAGGUUGUUUUAUACAGCAAAGGAAACCAUACAGAAAACAAAGACAGCCUACAGACUGGGAGAAAAUAUUUGCAAAAGCAAUGCAAGCAACAAGGGUUUUAUUUCCAAAAUAUACAAACAACUCAUAUAACGCAAUAACAACAACAACAACAAAAUAGAAAAAUGGGCAGAAGACCUAUAUAGACAUUUCUCCAAAGAAGACAUCCAGAUGACCAACAGCCCAUGAAGAGAUGCACAACACCACUAAUUAUUAGAGAAAUGCACAUCAAAACCACAAUGAGGCAUUACCUCACGCCAGUCAGAAUGGCCAGCAUCAAAAAGUCUACAAAUAACAAAUGCUGGAGAGGGUGUGGAGAAAACAGAACCCUCUUACACUGUGGGUGGGGAUGUAAAUUGGUGCAGCCACUAUGGAGAACAGAAUGAAGGUUCCUCAAGAAACUAAAAAUAGUGUUACCAUAUGAUCCAGCAAUCCCACUUCUGUGUAUAUAUAUCCAAAAAAGCCAAAAACUCUAAUUUGAAAAGAUACAUGCAGCCUGUAUUCAUAGCAGCACUAUUUACAAUGACCAAGACAUGGAAAUAACCUAAGUGUCCAUCAACAGAUAAAUGGAUAAGAAGAUUUGGUGCAUAUAUACAAUGGAAUAUUACUCAGCCAUAAAAAGAAUGACACAAUGUCAUUUGCAGCAACAUGAGUGGAUCUAAAGAUUUUCAUACUAAGGGAAGGAAGCUAGACAGAGAAAGACAAAUAUCAUGAUAUCAUUUACAUGUGGAAUAUAAAACAUGAUACGAAUGAACUUAAUUUACAAAACAGAAACAGACUCACAAACAUAGAAAGCAAACUUAUGGUUACCAAAGAGGGAAGGGAUGGGGGAGGGAUAAAUUAGAAGUUUGGGAUUAGCAGCUACAAACUAUUGUAUAUAAAAUAUGUAAACAACAAGGACCCACUAUAUAGCACAGGGACCUAUCCUCAAUAUCUUCUAAUAAAUCGUAAUGGAAAAGAAUCAGAAAAAGAAUACAUACACAUAACUGAAUUACUUUGCUGUAUACCUGAAACUAACCCAACACUGAAAAUUAACUAUACUUCAAUAAAAAAUAAAAUAAACAAGAUCCCGCUGUAUAGCACAGGAAACUAUAUUCAGUAUUCUAUAAUAAAUUAAUGGAGAAGAAUAUGAAAAAGAUUACAUAUGUAUAAUCAUUUUGCCGUACACCAGAAACUAACA